rnacentral:rRNA from 1 species
UACGUAGGGUGCGAGCGUUGUCCGGAAUUAUUGGGCGUAAAGAGCUCGUAGGCGGUGUGUCACGUCGGCCGUGAAAACCUGCAGCUUAACUGUGGGCGUGCGGUCGAUACGGGCAUCACUGGAGUUCGGCAGGGGAGACUGGAAUUCCUGGUGUAGCGGUGAAAUGCGCAGAUAUCAGGAGGAACACCGGUGGCGAAGGCGGGUCUUUGGGCCGAUACUGACGCUGAGGAGCGAAAGCGUGGGGAGCAAACAGG